UCUUCCUCUCCCAAUUCUUCUUUCGCUCACCAUUUCUCCUCUAGCCGACGCCUCCAUCAGCAUCCCUCACCGCGUGUGACUUGACGGACGACGGUUGCACAUCGACGCAACCCAGCAACCGCCUUGCAUCUCUCCCUCACGUGAUUGGAGCGCCUUGGCUUGCCGACACUAGAUCCACCACCGUCGGCCGUCCAUCUAAUCGGACGACGACCACUCCUUGUGUGGUUUAACUCACCGCUCAUUUUCGGCCAGACGCAGGUGUUCGAAGCCAUAGUUUUCGUGGGUAGUUUGAUCUUGGAAUUGGAUUUUAUUAUUAGAGGAAUUUUUUCCGCUGUACAGCCAUUCAAAAACUCAAAUUGGGCGUUCUUGGCACAACUUGUGCCAAAUUGAAGUGGGGAAAGCGUAUAAGCUCGAGGGAUCGAGUUACUGACUGCUUCGUGAAUGUGUUUCCGUAACGCCACCUACGGUUGUCAGGGGAUUUCGAGGCUGAAAGAGGUCGUGACCGGAGAUCCAAGAACCUGAGCGUAGGUGAGGACAUGGAUGGAGGAUUGUGAUAUGGCUUCGGGCCUAGCUUACCCCAUGGUUGGGUGGCUUUAUGUGCACAUAGGAGCGAUAUGUAGUUACUAUGGUAGGUGCUUCCUUGGCCGCGUGUUUCCUUGUGGAUAUGGAACACGUGUGAGCUAUUCCUGGGCCGUAUACUUAGUAUGCUAUCAUGGUUGGUUCGAUUGGUUGACGAUUGAUAUCAUGGUGGGUACUACGGAUGCGUGAGCUAGUUUUGGCCGCAUGAUGCUUUAUCAUGUGCGAGCUAUUUUUGGUUGUAUCCUUAGAUGCCUUGCCAUGGUUGUACAGAUUACAGGUUUGUUGAUGGACUAAUGGGUAUGAGUUAAUGACGCUUUUCACAAAUAUUAUACUUCUAAUGCAUAUUUAUAAUUUUUCUCUUUAAGCAUGUUUUAUGAGCUUUAUAUUUAAGAAACUUGUCACUCACUAAGUAUUCGACUUACAGUUAAAUGUUUUCUUCCCCCUCAGGUAGUGUACAAAGGUCAAGCGUUGAUUGAUCUCUUGUCAUCAGUCGUAGAUCUCCAUUAUUCUUUUGUAUGUUUGUAGUUAUUUUUUUUUGUAAUGCAUCAUGGAGUGAUUAGAUGUAGCGAGAGUGAGGCCAAGAACUUGUAUAGGAGAUCCUUCUUUAGAACAAAAUCAUUUUGUAUGUAAUUUUAGUCAAAUUAUGAACUUUACUGA